UACGAAGGGUGCAAACGUUGCUCGGAAUCAUUGGGCGUAAAGCGCACGUAGGCGGCCUCAAAAGUCGGAUGUGAAAUCCCGUGGCUCAACCAUGGACGUGCAUUCGAAACUGCGAGGCUUGAGUAUGGAAGAGGGUCGCGGAAUUCCCGGUGUAGAGGUGAAAUUCGUAGAUAUCGGGAGGAACACCAGUGGCGAAGGCGGCGACCUGGGCCAAUGAC
rnacentral:rRNA from 1 species